rnacentral:lncRNA from 1 species
AGAAAACUUCCUUUCUUAUUCCUCGUGUGCUUAGCUUAUUAUCAUCUUUUGAAUUUAGAGUCCUGCAGCUGUCUUAGAAGACAGACUGGGUCACUCUCCCAGAAGGGGUGUCAGAAAGCUCACAGCGAAGGGAAUACUUAGCUGUUGCUACAACUGGAAAUUCUUCCUCCCAUUCCACAGCACUUCACUGUGUGGACCAACAAAUACUAGGUACAAAGCCAACUGAAGUCAACUGCCAAGUAAGGGACUGCCAUUCUAUUAGCCCUCCUAUACAGUUGCGCCCAGCAAUGGAUAGAAAGCCAGGACUGUCCUAGAUCAGGGGACCGUCACAUCACCCAGAAGCUGAGGAAAUGAUUACAAGGCACCUGUCUGAGCUCUGCAUGGUCCUGCUGGAGAGAAGCAAAACACCCUUCAGGUACAUUUUUCUCAAAUCAAAUUGACAUUGCACAUGCAACUGGGGCCUUUAAAGGAAGAUGGACAUGUUUAAAAAAAGGUCAAGUACCUUAAGGCCAGUGUGGGAAAGAUGCUCCUGAACCCCCUCAGAGAUGGGGUGAAUGUCAGAG